CAUGGCUGAGUUGAGAAGGUUAUAAAGGAUUUUCGUUAAUCGGAUGUGGCUGAGGGAGUCGCAGAGAUCACUUGGUUAGUUGGGAUGUAUGUUUCUAGUCUAUAAGGAUGGUGGCAUUGGCAUUGGGAGCUUGGUCCAAGAAUUUCAUAAAAGGUUGUGGUGUUUCCCUCUGGAGCCAUUUUCUUCGUGGCAUAGAAGAGCAAAAUUGUGCUUCUAUGAAAUGGGUGGGAUUCUAGAGUUGGUUAUGGUAUCACUUAAAGAAGUCAUUGGGAGUCUAUUACUUAGGAUUAACACUAAUGGUGCCCUUCAAAUUCAGAGCACAAUAUUUUGUUCAAAAAUGCUAAUUUUGCGGGGUUAUUUGGCUGGAAUGGAACUAUAAGCACCACUUUGGACUGGCUCAAGUGGUUUGGGAUAGAAUGGUUUGUUUGUUUUCCUUUGGGCUAAGCUCACUGUUCUUUUUCAGGAUGCUUUCAUCUUCUCCGCAUAGGGUUUGGGUGUCUAUCCUGUUCUAAUGAUUCUGUUUAGUUCUAUUGUUUUUUGGUGUAUUUUUGGAGGAUUUAUUAUCCUCUUUUCUUUGUCCUUUUCUUUGAGAGGCUGGAUUUUCUUAUCCUCUAACUCUUUACUAACACCUUUUUUUAAUAAGAACAGGAGAUCCAUGUAAAGUUGAGGAAGACUAGGUAUCCUCCAGGUCUCUUGUCUUUAAUUGAAGCAAAUGGCAAAAAGAAGAGUGUAGCUGGGGUUUGAACAAGGGUUUCAUUGAGUCAUAUUUGCUCUCUCCUUGGUGUCCCAUCCUCCAGUUAAGACCAUACUUGAUCCUAAGCAAUGCCAAAAGCCUGCAGCUUAAGAAGAAAGGAUCAUUUGGGCACUAAGCCUAUAUUUUUGGGACAACAUAUUCAUGAUCUCUAAGCGCCCUUUUCCUCUUGCUCAUUUUGGGAAAGGAACAUGGAGUCUUCAGGAAUUAACGUAUUAUGUUCACUUCUCCCCUUUUUUCUUCAUUAUUUAAUGGGUUCUUGGCCACUUUGUGUUUGGUCUUGUUUUUCUUGGGAGGAUACCUUACCUUUUUGCCUUAUAUCUCUUCCUACAUUGAUAUAAUUUCUUUUCCUUAAAAGAAAAAAAAAACAUUUACUCACAUGGGACAUUUACUUAAACAUGCAUUUCCUGUACAUUCUUAGGAACUGGUUUGUGGACAUUUUUCUUAGUUGUAAUAAUCUGCUUCCAUCGCAUAAGAAAUAAAAUGAAAAAAUUGGCAUAUUGUGCCAGCAUCUCUUGCUCUCUCUAUAUGGUCUUUCUUUUCUCAAGUUCCAUUGUGAUUUUAUAUAUGAGCAUGCAUUUUCAUUUUUUAAUCUUUCUCAUACUGUUUAGCUCCACUGCCCUGCAAGUUUGUUCCAAUCUGUUGUUGGUAUGGUGCUCUCUACGGGUUUAUAUAACAUUCAACUGUUAGGUUUUUCACACAAGCUCUUGUUUUCCAAAGUUUGAUGCUCUUGCAGUUUAUUUGAAGCUCGAAAAGCUGGACAACUUUUGGAUAAUGGAAUAAAGUACAGUCCAGAUUGUGUAUGGCCUAUCAUGACAAAAGAUAAAAUUGGGAAUGAUAAACUUCCUGGGAACAUUUGGAGACCUAUAGAAGCAUCGGUUCAAAUUCCAUCAAACAUAUCUUGCAUAAAGUGUCCUGGAAAGCACACUCGUCCAACUGAUGAUUGUUCUGGCAUCCGCAAUGCAUUGAUAACUACACUCGGAUCAGGAAGCUCUGGUGGAUCUGUUUUCCUUUUCAAUCUUGAAGCCUUAGACUUUAACUCUGUUAUUUCAAUGAGACGAAGGUUGCAUAGGACUGCUUCUUUAAAUUGCACCGUUUGGACUGCAGAUUACAAUUUUAAUGCCAGUCAAGCAGUGAUUGGAACCAAUCUAGGGGCUGCCUUGGUGAAUUUGGAGACAGGAACAGCAUCAUGGGUGCUUCGUAGCAAAAGUGAUAUUUUGUCACAACAAUUUGACCAGUCAGGAAAUGUUGUUUUAUGUGGACUUAGAAAUGGAGCAAUUUUGACAAUUGAUACUCGUGUAAGGCAGGAAAGACUUCCUUCGCGAUUUAUUAAACAUCGAAUACCUGUUCAAGGUUCUAGUAAAAAGUGGUUUGAGCUGUAAAGAACUAUUUGAAGGAAAUUUUGGACAUUGCCUUGUCUAACUGAUUAGCUUUAUGAGCUCAAAGGAAACAUAAACCCCUCUGAUAUCAUUUUUAUGCCUUCAUCAAUUUCCUGGUUGGUGUGUCUUGAACAUGUUUUAGUACUAUUUUUGUUUUCAUUUGUAUCCUUCUUAUAACUUUGCUCUGCUCUACCUCAGUUUGGUGUCACUUCAACUCUAUGACCAGUACUUUUUAGCGAGCUCAAUGGAUGGUUCGGUUAGUAAUGCUUAUUCAUUCAAGUUUUUUUGGAUAUUCUUUUCCUAGUAACUAUGAUGAGUGGCAUUGGUACCCACUACUAACCGCUAUUGUUUUUGUCUAGUAAAUAUUUUUUCAUCAAAAUGUAAACUUGAAUCUGGUGCAAGCUAGUCUAUUAUCAAGGGUCAACUAGUAAUUUACUAUGACAAUAGUAAUGUGAAGAGAGCCAAAA